rnacentral:tRNA from 1 species
GCAAGUAUAGUUUAGUGGUAAAACAUUAACCUUCCAAGUUAAAAAUACGAGUUCAAUUCUCGUUACUUGCU